rnacentral:tRNA from 1 species
GGUUACGAUGGCUCAGUAGUAAAGCAUCUGUUUUGGGUGCCGAAGGUCCCGGGUUCAAUCACCAGCAUCGCCA